ACGAGGAGCUUGCUCCUCUGAUCAGUGGCGAACGGGUGAGUAACACGUGAGCAACCUGCCCCAGACUCUGGGAUAACAGUUGGAAACAGCUGCUAAUACCGGAUACGAGACGGAGAGGCAUCUCUACCGUCUGGAAAGUUUUUCGGUCUGGGAUGGACUCGCGGCCUAUCAGCUAGUUGGUGAGGUAAUGGCUCACCAAGGCGACGACGGGUAGCCGGCCUGAGAGGGCGACCGGCCACACUGGGACUGAGACACGGCCCAGACUCCUACGGGAGGCAGCAGUGGGGAAUAUUGCACAAUGGGCGAAAGCCUGAUGCAGCGACGCCGCGUGAGGGAUGACGGCCUUCGGGUUGUAAACCUCUUUCAGCAGGGAAGAAGCGAAAGUGACGGUACCUGCAAAAGAAGCACCGGCUAACUACGUGCCAGCAGCCGCGGUAAUACGUAGGGUGCGAGCGUUGUCCGGAAUUAUUGGGCGUAAAGAGCUUGUAGCGGUUUGUCGCGUCUGCAGUGAAAAUCCGAGCUCAACCUCGGACUUGCUGU
rnacentral:rRNA from 1 species